rnacentral:lncRNA from 1 species
AUGGCUGGCUGUGGAUGAUGGCUAUGAGAACAGAAAGACCAGCCAGAGUGGAUGAAGGUGAAUUUGACCAUAAGGAAGUCCAAUAGGAAAUAAGGUGACAUCAAAGAUGGACACAUGGGGGGGCGCCCAGGUGGCUCCGUCAGUUAAGCGUCUGACUUUGGCUCAGAUCAUGAUCUCACGGCUUGUAAGUUCGAGCCCCGCAUGAGGCUCUGUGCUGACAGCUCGGAUUCUGUGGCACCUGUCUCUCUGCCCCCUCCCCUGCUGUCACUCUGUCUCUCUCCCUCCCAAAAAUAAACAUGAAAAUUUUUAUUUUUUUUUAUUUUUUUUUAAACGUUUAUUUAUUUUUGAGACAGAGAGAGACAGAGCAUGAACGGGGGAGGGGCAGAGAGAGAGGGAGACACAGAAUCAGAAGCAGGCUCCAGGCUCUGAGCCGUCAGCCCAGAGCCCAACGCGGGGCUCGAACUCAUGGACCGUGAGAUCGUGACCUGAGCCCAAGUCAGAUGCUCAACCGACUGAGCCACCCAGGCGCCCCGAAAAUUAAAAAAAAAUGGACACAUGGGGGUGCCUGAGUGGCUCAGGUGGUUGGGCAUUCGCCUUUGGCUCAGGUCAUGAUCUUGCGAUUUGUGUGUUCGAGCCCCACAUUGGGCUUUCGGCUGGCAGCACAGAGCCUGCUUCAGAUCUUCUGUCCCCCCCCUCUCUGUCCCUCCUUCAUUCAUUCUCUCUCUCUCUCUCUCUCAAAAAAAAAAAAAAGAUGGACACAUGGCAAGGCAUGAGGAAACAAGAUAGGAGCCAGGUGACAGUGAACUGGAGAAUAUUCCCGCGUCCAUAGCUUUACUCCUGUGUAAAUGAAAAGCCUCCUCUCUGGGCUACUAACCGGACCACAAGGACUGCAGUAAUCUUUUACUGAUGCCUAUUAGAAGCAGGACCCCAUGGAAAGAAGAUCCAGGAGACUGGCGAAUGGAGACCAGCGUGAGCUUUUUAUCGAUAAACUGGGCAGCAUGGCCUCCUAUCUGUGGUCAGAGGUUUUACUGCGCUCCACUUUCCCGCCGUGGACCUGGGACAGCCCACCAGGGAAUAUUGUCCCACCUGAAACAAAAUAAGCUCUUCGUGACCACAGGCCCGUUUCGUGGCCACGGCACCGUGAGGCCAGGAGUGGAGGAGCACCUGUUCUCAGGGUUGUCUACAAGUUCAUAGCACUAACAAAUUAGGAUGGGCCUGACAUUAUGCAUCUGUGCUCUUAAUAAAAUUCCUAUUUGAGAAGACUUGGUGCUCA